AGUGAACGCUGGCGGUAGGCCUAACACAUGCAAGUCGAACGGCAGCACAGUAAGAGCUUGCUCUUACGGGUGGCGAGUGGCGGACGGGUGAGGAAUACAUCGGAAUCUACUUUUUCGUGGGGGAUAACGUCGGGAAACUUACGCUAAUACCGCAUACGACCUACGGGUGAAAGCAUGGGAUCUUCGGACCUUGCGCGAUUGAAUGAGCCGAUGUCGGAUUAGCUAGUUGGCGGGGUAAAGGCCCACCAAGGCGACGAUGCGUAGCUGGUCGGAGAGGAUGAUCAGCCACACUGGAACUGAGACACGGUCCAGACUCCUCCGGGAGGAAGCAGUGGGGAAUAUUGGACAAUGGGCGGAAGCCUGAUCAAGCCAUGCCGCGUGGUUGAAGAAGGACUUCGGGUUGUAAAGCACUUUUGUUGGGAAAGAAAAGCAGCAGGUUAAUACGCCGCUGUUCUGACGGUACCCAAAGAAUAAGCACCGGCUAACUUCGUG
rnacentral:rRNA from 1 species